CCUACGGGUGGCUGCAGUGGGGAAUAUUGGACAAUGGGCGAAAGCCUGAUCCAGCCAUGCCGCGUGUGUGAAGAAGGCCUUCGGGUUGUAAAGCACUUUCAGUGGGGAAGAAAGCCUUGGGGCUAAUACCCUCGAGGAAGGACAUCACCCACAGAAGAAGCACCGGCUAACUCCGUGCCAAGCAGCCGCGGUAAUACGGAGGGUGCGAGCGUUAAUCGGAAUUACUGGGCGUAAAGCGCGCGUAGGCGGUCUGAUAAGCCGGUUGUGAAAGCCCCGGGCUCAACCUGGGAACGGCAUCCGGAACUGUCAGGCGAGAGUGCAGGAGAGGAAGGUAGAAUUCCCGGUGUAGCGGUGAAAUGCGUAGAGAUCGGGAGGAAUACCAGUGGCGAAGGCGGCCUUCUGGACUGACACUGACGCUGAGGUGCGAAAGCGUGGGUAGCAAACAGGAUUAGAUACCCCAGUAGUC
rnacentral:rRNA from 1 species